rnacentral:rRNA from 1 species
CGAAUGCUGACAUAAGUAACGAUAAAGCGGGUGAAAAGCCCGCUCGCCGGAAGACCAAGGGUUCCUGUCCAACGUUAAUCGGGGCAGGGUGAGUCGACCCCUAAGGCGAGGCCGAAAGGCGUAGUCGAUGGGAAACAGGUUAAUAUUCCUGUACUUGGUGUUACUGCGAAGGGGGGACGGAGAAGGCUAUGUUGGCCGGGCGACGGUUGUCCCGGUUUAAGCGUGUAGGCUGGUUUUCCAGGCAAAUCCGGAAAAUCAAGGCUGAGGCGUGAUGACGAGGCACUACGGUGCUGAAGCAACAAAUGCCCUGCUUCCAGGAAAAGCCUCUAAGCAUCAGGUAACAUCAAAUCGUACCCCAAACCGACACAGGUGGUCAGGUAGAGAAUACCAAGGCGCUUGAGAGAACUCGGGUGAAGGAACUAGGCAAAAUGGUGCCGUAACUUCGGGAGAAGGCACGCUGAUAUGUAGGUGAAGUCCCUCGCGGAUGGAGCUGAAAUCAGUCGAAGAUACCAGCUGGCUGCAACUGUUUAUUAAAAACACAGCACUGUGCAAACACGAAAGUGGACGUAUACGGUGUGACGCCUGCCCGGUGCCGGAAGGUUAAUUGAUGGGGUCAGCGCAAGCGAAGCUCUUG